rnacentral:ncRNA from 14 species
GUUUUAGAGCUAGAAAUAGCAAGUUAAAAUAAGGCUAGUCCGUUAUCAACUUGAAAAAGUGGCACCGAGUCGGUGCUUUUUUU